UACAUGUGGGGCAAGCGUUGUUCGGAAUUACUGGGCAUAAAGGGUGCGUAGGCGGUUUGUUAAGUCACUGGUGAAAGUUUUCGGCCCAACCGGAAAAUUGCCUGUGAUACUGGCGAACUAGAAUCUGGCAGAGGGGGGUGGAAUUCCACGUGUAGCAGUGAAAUGCGUAGAGAUGUGGAGGAACACCGAUGGCGAAGGCAGCCCCCUGGGCUGAGAUUGACGCUCAGGCACGAAAGCGUGGGGAGCAAACAGG
rnacentral:rRNA from 1 species